UUCCUAUACGAUCACCAAAGUUAAGCAACGUAGAGUUUGGUUAGUACUUAAAUUGGUAACCGCUUGGGAAUACCAGGCGUUGUAU